rnacentral:rRNA from 1 species
UACGUAGGGGGCAAGCGUUGUCCGGAAUCAUUGGGCGUAAAGAGCGUGUAGGCGGCCCGAUAAGUCCGCUGUGAAAGUCCAGGGCUCAACCCUGGAAUGCCGGUGGAUACUGUCGGGCUCGAAUCCGGAAGAGGUGAGUGGAAUUCCUGGUGUAGCGGUGAAAUGCGCAGAUAUCAGGAGGAACACCAAUGGCGAAGGCAGCUCACUGGGACGGUAUUGACGCUGAGACGCGAAAGCGUGGGAGGCAAACAGGAUUGAGAAA